rnacentral:tRNA from 1 species
AUAGGUAUGGUGAAGUGGCUAUCAUUCGCGCUUGCCAUGCGUGAGGCAGGGGUUCAAUUCCCCUUACCUAUA